GCGGCCCCGGCGUGCGGCGGGCAGGCGAUACCAAGUGUGGGGAAGGGAGGGGUUCUCCGCGAGCGGGACGCCCACUCCGCGCUGUGUCGGCGCACCCCGCCCCGCGGCCACCCCUCCGGUGACUGCGCUGUGAGGGGCGACCUCGGCGCGGGGGCGGGGCCGGCCUUGCGGCGCUGGGCCUUUGAGUGGAAGGCGGGAAAUGGCGGAGGCUUCAGGCCGCGGCGCGGGGAAGCCCUCUGCAUCCGGGCCUGGUACCCCCGGCGGCUCCAGGGCCAGAGGGAAAAGGGCACAAGGUGGGAGAGUAGUGGAGUCCCGCUACCUGCAGUACGAGCGGAAGGCAGCCAGAAAGGCUCCUGCCGCGGACGCUGCUGUCAGAGCUGGCGGGAAGGUGGCGGAGGGCGUGAGGAGAGCCAGCCAGCUGCCCAAGGGCUCAGAUGGCAGUGGUGUGGGCCAGGGCGACCUGCAGUCCACCUUGCUGGAGGGGCACGGCACUGCACCGCCCGACCUGGACCUCUCAGCCAUCAACGACAAAAGCAUGGUCAGGAAGACACCUCAGUUAGAGAAGACGCUGUCACGGAAGCCUAAGGCGACAUCCUUCACGGCCCCGCCGAGGAAGAGCCCGGACUCCCUGGAGGUGGUGGAGGUGGUGGUGUCCCAGACGUUACUGCUGACCCUGCUGACGGUGCAGAUGGAGAACGGGCUGGCACGGCUGGAGGAGAAGGCGGAACGGAGCCUGCUCGCCAUGUGCCGGGAGCAGGCCCGGCUGCAGCAGAAGGCCCACGAGCUGAGGCGCGAGCUGCUGCUCCGGCAGAGGCGCCGGGAGCUGGGAGGCAUACUGGACGCCCAGGUGGAGACACUGCGCCCCUUUGAGGCGGUGGCUGGGCGCUUCCAGGAGCGGUACAGGACGCUGGCCACAGCCCUGGACACCACCCGGCACGAGCUGCCCGUGAGCGCCAUCCACCUGGAACGCGACGGCCGGCAGCUGCUCGACAGCCUGCAAGCCGAGCUGACAACCACCCAGCGCCUUCUGGCUGAGCUGGGCCUGGGCGACAGCGAGGAGCAUGGGCAGGUGCUGGCCCUGUUGGCCGAGCUCAGGGACGUGACCACGCAGAAGGACCACGAGCUCCGGAGGUGGCCGUGACACUGGGACGGGGGUGGCUCCGCUCCCAGGGCAGAGGGGCAGCCAGCAGGGGUCACUGUCACAUGGUAGCCCAGAGAGUGCAUGGUCCCAAGCA
rnacentral:lncRNA from 1 species